UAAAUACUCCCUCCGCCCAGAAAUACUUGUCGGAGGAAUGGAUGUAUCUUAGUUCUAGAUACAUCCAUUUUUAUUCAUUUCUCCGACAAGUAUUUUCGGACGGAGGGAGUAGAAG
rfam:Triticum aestivum genome assembly, contig: Triticum_aestivum_CS42_TGACv1_scaffold_331542_4BS